AGUCGAACGAGAAUCUCUUGGAAUGAUUCUUUCGGGAUGAAUUCCAAAGAGGAAAGUGGCGGACGGGCGAGUAACGCGUGAGUAACCUGCCCAUAAGAGGGGGAUAGUCCAUGGAAACGUGGACUAAUACCGCAUAUUGUAGUUAAGUUGCAUGACUUGAUUAUGAAAGAUUUAUCGCUUAUGGAUGGACUCGCGUCAGAUUAGAUAGUUGGUGAGGUAACGGCUCACCAAGUCAACGAUCUGUAGCCGAACUGAGAGGUUGAUCGGCCGCAUUGGGACUGAGACACGGCCCAGACUCCUACGGGAGGCAGCAGUGGGGAAUAUUGCGCAAUGGGGGCAACCCUGACGCAGCAACGCCGCGUGCAGGAAGAAGGUCUUCGGAUUGUAAACUGUUGUCGCAAGGGAAGAAGACAGUGACGGUACCUUGUGAGAAAGUCACGGCUAACUACGUGCCAGCAGCCGCGGUAAUACGUAGGUGACAAGCGUUGUCCGGAUUUACUGGGUGUAAAGGGCGCGUAGGCGGACUGUCAAGUCAGUCGUGAAAUACCGGGGCUUAACCCCGGGGCUGCGAUUGAAACUGACAGCCUUGAGUAUCGGAGAGGAAAGCGGAAUUCCUAGUGUAGCGGUGAAAUGCGUAGAUAUUAGGAGGAACACCAGUGGCGAAGGCGGCUUUCUGGACGACAACUGACGCUGAGGCGCGAAAGUGUGGGGAGCAAACAGGAUUAGAUACCCUGGUAGUCCACACCGUAAACGAUGGAUACUAGGUGUAGGAGGUAUCGACC
rnacentral:rRNA from 1 species